CGGCGGACGGGUGAGUAACGCGUAGGAAUCUACCCAGUAGUGGGGGACAACAGUCGGAAACGGCUGCUAAUACCGCAUACGCCCUAUGGGGGAAAGCGGGGGACCUUCGGGCCUCGCGCUAUUGGAUGAGCCUGCGUCGGAUUAGCUUGUUGGUGAGGUAAAGGCUCACCAAGGCGACGAUCCGUAGCUGGUCUGAGAGGAUGAUCAGCCACACUGGAACUGAGACACGGUCCAG
rnacentral:rRNA from 1 species